GGAAGGGGUAGGAGUCAGGCACAGCCCUGUUUCUCCUGGCGGGCAUGGGAAGGGGGAUCGGGGAUGGAAACCAAUUUCUAGGGUCUUCCAAGUAAACUACAGACUCCAGGAGCUGUGGACCAGAUCCAGGAGUAGGAUGAGGAUCCUUAAUGCCCUUCUGGAAUCCUGAAAAGCAGCCCCCAGAGGCUAGUGGAACAGCCUGGGGAGAAAUGCAGAAAUGAGGAAGUUCAUUGCCUGGUCUCUAGGUGUGCUGCCCUCAAGCCUGAGAUUGGGCAGACACCACGACCUCCCUUCUGCCCAGCCCCAGGCGGUCUGCCUGGCUCCAACCACAGGGCAGCACGGGUAAACUGGAACUGAGUGUUGUGUGCAAGUGUGGGUGGGGGGCAGGGAGCACAGAGAAGAGCACUGGGACUCCUAGUCUGCCUGGCACACGGAGUCACUUAGCCAUGCUGUGACCUGCUGGGGACCAGCUCUUCUUCAGCAGUGACAGAGCCAGAUCAAAGGGGACCUCAGCUACAGCAGGAGGGAUUUAGAUAAGUUAGCAAAAAGAACUUCCUGCCUGCAAAGAUUGUUAAGCCCCGGAAAGGGGAGCCUGGGAGUCUGUGGAAUCUUUUUGCUCCGAAAUCAUAGUCACUGGUAUCACUGUGGCUUCUUCCGUGCCAUGUCUGAUAAGGACAAACAAACCCUAACAUUUUUUGAGAA